rnacentral:rRNA from 1 species
GCUGGCGGCGUGCUUAACACAUGCAAGUCGAACGAACCUUCGGGUUAGUGGCGGACGGGUGAGUAACGCGUGAGAAUCUGCCCUCAGGAGGGGGAUAACGGUUGGAAACGACCGCUAAUACCCCAUAUGCCUAUUGGUGAAAUGAAUUUCGCCUGAGGAUGAGCUCGCGUCUGAUUAGCUAGUUGGUGAGGUAAUGGCUCACCAAGGCUUCGAUCAGUAGCUGGUCUGAGAGGAUGAUCAGCCACACUGGGACUGAGACACGGCCCAGACUCCUACGGGAGGCAGCAGUGGGGAAUUUUCCGCAAUGGGCGAAAGCCUGACGGAGCAACGCCGCGUGAGGGACGAAGGCCUCUGGGCUGUAAACCUCUUUUCUCAAGGAAGAAGAUAUGACGGUACUUGAGGAAUAAGCCACGGCUAAUUCCGUGCCAGCAGCCGCGGUAAUACGGGAGUGGCAAGCGUUAUCCGGAAUUAUUGGGCGUAAAGCGUCCGCAGGCGGCUUUUCAAGUCUGCUGUUAAAGCGUGGAGCUUAACUCCAUCAUGGCAGUGGAAACUGAAAGGCUUGAGUAUGGUAGGGGCAGAGGGAAUUCCCGGUGUAGCGGUGAAAUGCGUAGAUAUCGGGAAGAACACCAGUGGCGAAGGCGCUCUGCUGGGCCAUUACUGACGCUCAUGGACGAAAGCCAGGGGAGCGAAAGGGAUUAGAUACCCCUGUAGUCCUGGCCGUAAACGAUGAACACUAGGUGUCGGGGGAAUCGACCCCUUCGGUGUCGUAGCUAACGCGUUAAGUGUUCCGCCUGGGGAGUACGCACGCAAGUGUGACUAAUAUAGUGAUGCG